GACGAACGCUGGCGGCGUGCUUAACACAUGCAAGUCGAACGAAGUGGCGAACGGGUGAGUAACGCGUAAUCAACCUGCCCUUCAGAGGGGGACAACAGCUGGCAACGACUGCUCAUACCGCCUACUGAAGGUGGGGAUUGCGUCUGAUUAGCUAGUUGGAGGGGUAACGGCCCACCAAGGCGAUGGUCAGUAGCCGGUCUGGGAGGAUGGACGGCCACAUUGGGAAUGGGACACGGCCCAGACUCCUACGGGAGGCAGCAGGGGGGAAUCUUCCGCAAUGGACGAAAGUCUGACGGAGCAACGCCGCGUGAGUGAUGACGGCCUUCGGGUUGUAAAGCUCUGUUAAUCGGGACGCGGUACCGGAAUAGAAAGCCACGGCUAACUACGUGCCAGCAGCCGCGGUAAUAC
rnacentral:rRNA from 1 species